CGUCGGCUCCUCCCGUCCUCCGUUGGCAUCCCUAUUCCCAAAUCCCAAAUCCCAAAGGGCAAAGGCCAAAAUCAAAUCCCAGGCCGCAGACCGCAGUGGUUGGUUGUGAUUUCGGCGGUUCGGCCUCUUCUCAGUUCUCUCCGUCAAGUUCGGCACUAUUCGGCCUCUUCUCCCCGUCAAGUUCGGCACUACUUGUCGGGAUCUGAGUUUGU